rnacentral:piRNA from 1 species
UGAAAAUCUAAAAAUUUUUGU